rnacentral:rRNA from 1 species
UAGAGGAAGUAAAAGUCGUAACAAGGUUUCCGUAGGUGAACCUGCGGAAGGAUCAUUAUUGAAAUAAAACUGAUGGGUUGUUGCUGGUUCUCUAGGGAGCAUGUGCACACUUGUCAUCUUUAUAUCUCCACCCUGUGCACCUUUUGUAGACCUGGAUAUCUCUCUGAGUGCUAGUCACUCAGGUUUGAGUAUUGACUUCAUGUCUUUUCUUACAUUUCCAGGCCUAUGUUUUUCCAUAUACCCCAAUGUAUGUCUUAGAAUGUAUUCAAUGGGCCUCUGUGCCUAUAAAAUCUAUAUACAACUUUCAGCAACGGAUCUCUUGGCUCUCGCAUCGAUGAAGAACGCAGCGAAAUGCGAUAAGUAAUGUGAAUUGCAGAAUUCAGUGAAUCAUCGAAUCUUUGAACGCACCUUGCGCUCCUUGGUAUUCCGAGGAGCAUGCCUGUUUGAGUGUCAUUAAUAUAUCAACCUCUUCAAAUUUUUUGUUUGACGAGUGUUGGAUGUGGGGGACUGCUUUGCUGGUCUAAACAGGUCAGCUCCCCUGAAAUGCAUUAGCAGAACCAUUUGCAGAUCGUUCAUUGGUGUGAUAAUUAUCUACGCUAUUAACGUGAAGUAGUUCAGCUUCUAACAGUCCAUUGAUUUGGACAAUUUUCAUUAAUGUGACCUCAAAUCAGGUAGGACUACCCGCUGAACUUAAGCAUAUCAAUAA